rnacentral:other from 1 species
GAUACCCUGUGGUUCACGUGUACGGCCAUUUUUUUACCAACACAUCUUAUACGGGAUGCGUUCUCUCCAUGCGGCGUAUACGCCUCCUUUCCCUUUGGGGACUGCCAGUGGACAUAUAAUGUAUGGAGGAUGCGACCCACCUGCAAAUGCAGGUAAGAAACUCGGCCCAGCCACGGUUCUCGUGGGGUUAUU